CCUACGGGAGGCAGCAGUAGGGAAUAUUGCUCAAUGGGGGAAACCCUGAAGCAGCAACGCCGCGUGAAGGAUGAAGGUUUUCGGAUUGUAAACUUCUUUUGUUAGAGAAGAAAAUGACGGUAUCUAACGAAUAAGCACUGGCCAACUUCGUGCCAGCAGCCGCGGUAAUACGGGGGGUGCAAGCGUUACUCGGAAUCACUGGGCGUAAAGAGCGCGUAGGCGGGAUAGCAAGUCAGAUGUGAAAUCCUACGGCUUAACCAUAGAACUGCAUUUGAAACUGUUAGUCUUGAGUAUGGGAGAGGUAGGUGGAAUUCUUGGUGUAGGGGUAAAAUGCGUAGAGAUCAAGAGGAAUACUCAUUGCGAAGGCGACCUGCUAGAACAUAACUGACGCUGAGGCGCGAAAGCGUGGGGAUCAAACAGGAUUAGAUACCCGGGUAGUC
rnacentral:rRNA from 1 species